rnacentral:rRNA from 1 species
GACGAACGCUGGCGGCGUGCCUAAUACAUGCAAGUUGAGCGCUGAAGGUUGGUACUUGUACCCACUGGAUGAGCAGCGAACGGGUGAGUAACGCGUGGGGAAUCUGCCUUUGAGCGGGGGACAACAUUUGGAAACGAAUGCUGAUACCGCAUAAAAACUUUAAACACAAGUUUUAAGUUUGAAAGAUGCAAUUGCAUCACUCAAAGAUGAUCCCGCGUUGUAUUAGCUAGUUGGUGAGGUAAAGGCUCACCAAGGCGAUGAUACAUAGCCGACCUGAGAGGGUGGUCGGCCACAUUGGGACUGGGACACGGCCCAAACUCCUACGGGAGGCAGCAGUAGGGAAUCUUCGGCAAUGGACGAAAGUCUGACCGAGCAACGCCGCGUGAGUGAAGAAGGUUUUCGGAUCGUAAAACUCUGUUGGUAGAGAAGAACGUUGGUGAGAGUGGAAAGCUCAUCAAGUGACGGUAACUACCCAGAAAGGGACGGCUAACUACGUG